CUCCUAGAGUCCCAAAUAGGACGAAACACGCGUCCUGGAU
rfam:Schistosoma mattheei strain Denwood, Zambia genome assembly, scaffold: SMTD_scaffold0012026